ACAGCAGUCGCCGCGGUAAUACGUAGGUGGCAAGCGUUGUCCGGAAUUAUUGGGCGUAAAGGGCUCGCAGGCGGUUUCUUAAGUCUGAUGUGAAAGCCCCCGGCUCAACCGGGGAGGGUCAUUGGAAGCUGGGAAACUUGAGUGCAGAAGAGGAGAGUGGAAUUCCACGUGUAGCGGUGAAAUGCGUAGAGAUGUGGAGGAACACCAGUGGCGAAGGCGACUCUCUGGUCUGUAACUGACGCUGAGGAGCGAAAGCGUGGGGAGCGAACAGGAUUAGAGACCCCGGUAGUCCCUGUCUCUUAUAC
rnacentral:rRNA from 1 species